GAUGAACGCUAGCGGCAGGCCUAAUACAUGCAAGUCGGGCGGGAUUCAGGAGCUUGCUUCUGAUGAGAGUGGCGCACGGGUGCGUAACACGUAUGUAACCUACCUUUAUCAGGGGGAUAGCCUCUCGAAAGAGAGAUUAAGCCCGCAUAAAAUCACAGCACAGCAUUGUGUAAUGAUCAAAUAUUUAUAGGAUAAAGAUGGGCAUGCGGAACAUUAGCUAGAUGGCGGGGUAACGGCCCACCAUGGCGACGAUGUUUAGGGGAUCUGAGAGGAUGGCCCCCCACACUGGUACUGAGACACGGACCAGACUCCUACGGGAGGCAGCAGUAAGGAAUAUUGGUCAAUGGGCGGAAGCCUGAACCAGCCAUGCCGCGUGCAGGAAGACGGCCCUACGGGUUGUAAACUGCUUUUAUACGGGAAUAAACCCAGAUACGUGUAUCUGGCUGAAUGUACUGUAAGAAUAAGGAUCGGCUAACUCCGUG
rnacentral:rRNA from 1 species